GGUCUUUCUGCAGGGCUGAGAUGUGGAGGGGUCUAUAAGGUCUGGUCUUUCUGCAGGGCUGAGAUGUGGAGGGGUCUAUAAGGACUGGUCUUUCUGCAGGGCUGAGAUGUGGAGGGGUCUAUAAGGACUGGUCUUUCUGCAGGGCUGAGAUGUGGAGGGGUCUAUAAGGUCUGGUCUUUCUGCAGGGCUGAGAUGUGGAGGGGUCUAUAAGGUCUGGUCUUUCUGCAGGGCUGAGAUGUGGAGGGGUCUAUAAGGACUGGUCUUUCUGCAGGGCUGAGAUGUGGAGGGGUCUAUAAGGACUUUCUGCAGGGCUGAGAUGUGGAGGGGUCUAUAAGGACUGGUCUUUCUGCAGGGCUGAGAUGUGGAGGGGUCUAUAAGGUCUUUCUGCAGGGCUGAG